GACGAAGGAUGCAAGCGUUAUCCGGAUUCAUUGGGCGUAAAGGGUGCGUAGGCGGCGCGGUAAGUCGGGUGUGAAAUCUCGGAGCUUAACUCCGAAACUGCAUUCGAUACUGCCGUGCUUGAGGACUGGAGAGGAGACUGGAAUUUACGGUGUAGCGGUGAAAUGCGUAGAUAUCGUAAGGAAGACCAGUGGCGAAGGCGGGUCUCUGGACAGUUCCUGACGCUGAGGCACGAAGGCCAGGGAGCAAACGGG
rnacentral:rRNA from 1 species